AGUGAACGCUGGCGGUAGGCCUAACACAUGCAAGUCGAACGGCAGCACAGUAAGAGCUUGCUCUUACGGGUGGCGAGUGGCGGACGGGUGAGGAAUACAUCGGAAUCUACUUUUUCGUGGGGGAUAACGUAGGGAAACUUACGCUAAUACCGCAUACGACCUACGUGUGAAAGCAGGGGAUCUUCGGACCUUGCGCGAUUGAAUGAGCCGAUGUCGGAUUAGCUAGUUGGCGGGGUAAAGGCCCACCACGGCGACGAUCCGUAGCUGGUCUGAGAGGAUGAUCAGCCACACUGGAACUGAGACACGGUCCAGACUCCUACGGGAGGACGCAGUGGGGAAUAUUGGACAAUGGGCGCAAGCCUGAUACAGCCAUACCGCGUGGGUGAAGAAGGACUUCGGGUUGUAAAGCCCUUUUGUUGGGAAAGAAAAGCAGCAGGUUAAUACCCCGCUGUUCUGACGGUACCCAAAGAAUAAGCACCGGCUAACUUCGUG
rnacentral:rRNA from 1 species